UAAAGCUAUAUGGGUCCCCAAGACAUUGCCAUCCACAGAACUGAUAUCACAUCCAGAUAUAGCUCUCCUUCCCCCUCACUACCUAUGGUUAAGAAGGUUGUUCCUUUCUGAAAUGCCAGCCCAAAACCAGGUCCAAUCACUCAGGCUAGGUCAAAGGAAUUUGCUUUGCUAAGAUUGAAGAAUCUGUAUUAACAUGAUCAAGCAAGGCAGAAAUCCUGAGAGUUUCCUUGCAGAAUCCAUAUCUAUUUCCUUCUCCUCUACUGUAAGCAAAAUAGUUUCAUGAGCAUGUGAUAACAGAACAUGAGUUAUCACAUGAACACUUACAAACUUAAAUGAAAAAGCCCUUGAUGUGGAAAGUGCUGUGAACUCUACUGCUGAACAAUCAACCUUUAUUUGCCUAACUAGCAGUACCUCAAGCAGAAGUUAUUUGCUUUAGCUUCACCUGAAGAAAACCUGAUCUCCUACUGAAGCAGUACCUUUUUAUAAGAUGCAAGUUACAUAGGUUUGUUUUUUUUUAAGGAGCUUAACGCAUACAAAACACCCACCAAGCCAAGCACCUCAAACUACUGAUCCUUCCAAAUGAUUUUUUUUCCCCAUUGCUACAAUCUUUGAUUUUGCACUUACUUAAGUACACGGGAUUUCAGCAUUUACUGGUUUUCCCACGUACUCCAGUGUACUUAAAGUGACUAAAAUGAAACCACAAGAGGGAAAACUACUAGGAUGACUGUUGCCGAGGAGGAAAAACCAGCAACCCAGGUCUGGUUCACUCAAACUGUCUGAUGAUUCGUAUUUAAAGUGUUGAGGGCUACAGUCAUCUUCUGCUCUGAUUUGUAGUGCUGCAAGUCAACCGAGGUUAUGAAAUCGGAUCUGGCACCAUGAAGAAGACUGUCCCUUCACAGGAUACGAGUAAUAGCCACUUGAGUAAAUGCAAGUUACUCAUAUCCUGCUAGUGGAAUAAUCUGUCUCUGUACAUUCAUGCACAUUUUUAGUUGCCUCCAGGAAUCUGAAGGCGAAUCUCAUUUGUUACCUAAUGAAAUUAAUUUCACUAGAUAUAACACAAGCAUACUGAAAAACCACUAUUACUCAUACAUGAGGUGCAACCAAUGCAGCAUUUCUCAACUUCUGUUUGAUUAGGGUCCAUCUCUGAACGCUCACCAUUACCACAUAAACCUCAAUCUCCCUGGCUGGCUGCUUAACAUUCCCAGCUGAUUUGCUCCAAGUCUUAAAGAGCAAUUUGACCUCCCCUUGCUUUAUCCACAACAAUCUCACUUAUUAUUCUUUUAAACCAAAGUGAUUCCCAAACAGUAGGGAUGCAGGUUUUUCCUUCUCUCCAAGGAUUUUCCUUGGAGCCUGAAAACUUUUCUUCCCUUUUGCAGAAUAGAAGUGAACCAUGCAUUUCUUAGUUUACUUGCAAACAUGUAAAAUAAUGAACAUACAAUGACCAACUGGCCGACCUUGGCCAAAAGCGAUGCACAGACACAGGUUUACUUUUCAAGUCUGUAAGCAGAGUUACAUGCACACACGAUAGAUACACACACACAUAUACACAAGCACUUUGAAAUAUCUGCAGUGAUGUUAUUGUAUGUAAGAAAUUAAAUUAUUCUGGUAUGAAAUACUGUAAGAUAAAGGUCUCACUAAGUGGAGCAGCAAAGGAAGAUGAAGACGUGAUCUUUGGAGACUGAAGGCGCCGGAAGAGGACCGUCUGCCACACUUAUCUGAAUGUUCCCACCUCAAACUGGCAACUCUACUGUUUUCCAAAAACCAGCCUUAUUUUGACUGUAGGCUGCAGUGCUAGUGGAGCCAGAUCAGCGCUACUUACAAGAAAGCCUGAAAGAUCUGUAUAUGAUUAUGAAGUUUAUGGUAUCAAAAAUCAGCUGUAGCAUCACUUUCAGAGACUUUCAAGAGACAAAAUCAUCAGAAUUUGCAGGUUCUGUGUUUCUCUGACUUCAGCUGUGCUGUAAUGAUUUAUGCAACUUGAAGAUGUGGCCUCGACAUAACACUUCUCACUGCACUUGGGAAAAACCAUCAGAAUUAAAACAUAACAUACUCCUACACAGAAGUGUACCCAGCCAUUUGUGACUGUAUUUAAAGCAGUCCUUGAACAAGGUUAGCUCACCUAAAACUUCUCUUUUGCCUUCUCAACUCCAGCAAAAUUGGAAGGAAAUCUCUGAACAGAGAUGGAUCACUUCAUUGCUGCUACCUGCAUUUCUUGAGUCAAAGAAGCACGAGUGAUAACAACGGUAGUAUAAAUAUAUUGGCUCUGGGCCUUGUUCCUCCUGAGAAGCAGUGCCAAUGGACAGGCGAUUGGAGUCAGCUCUGAAAACCUGACAAAGCAGUGCUUAUUUUCACAGGUAGACAUGAGAACUGGAAAAGACUUGAGGAAAGGAAUAUUGCGGCAGGAAAAAAGGGAAGGGAGUAAGCUGGCAGAUUAAUAGCUGGUGUUUCAUAAUUGGUGUGUCUUAAAAAGUUUUACUUGUUUGCUUAUUCACUCCAAAGCUAUGUACCAAGAGCAGCAGCAGCAGCAGAAGUGCAUGCCAGAUGGUAGAGGAAGUGCCUUGUGUAUCUUUCCAGUCUACUGAAGCCUGCAGGGCCUUCGUUAGCCCACUGCUCUGGUUUUCAUUGCAAGUCCCUUUCUUCCCCUUUUUUCUCUUCCCUUCUUCAAAGAAAAAGGAGGGAGUGGGAAAGAGGAAAAAAAAAAAGAAAAGAAAAGCCAUGGUUUAAACUGGAAAUAGCACCAUCCUUUUGGCUUUGAGCUACCCUGGCCUGUGCCAAAUACACUGUCUCCAGCAGCUCUCCCACAACAAAUCAGGCCAGACACACAAAAGCUGUAAAAAAAGAAUGUUGAAGAAAGAUCCUUGAUUCUCCCCUCUAGCCCCCCAGCCUUUUCCUUUUGCUUCCCUCCCCAAGCUUCACUGCCCAGCAGUGACCUCCUCCUGCUUGCCAGUACUGUCAGUGAUGCUGGGACCUCCAGUCUACAACUUUGCUGACAGCUUCCUUAGAGUAGAGGCAUCUGUGCCUUUCUGUUUUAAAAGAGCAAUGUAAAGGAGAAGCUAUAUUCUGUUUUUCCUGUCACUUCUAUCUGAGAGCCAAUGUUUGAAAAACACAAAUUGUUAGCAUAGCAGAUUGAUCACUAGAAGAAAUUGUCUAUCAGCUUUGUGUCACAACUUACAUUAGUGCAUUCCCAACUAGAUACCUGAAAAGAUCUGAUGUUGUCCAUUUAUACAGUACAUUAUUAAAAAUAAUGGAAAAACAGACUGCCAAUUUUUUCAAAAGUGAUUAGCAAAUAUUAAGUACUCCAAAUUUAGAGACCAGUUUCAAAGAUCUUAUGAUAGUGAUUUUUAGAAAGUGUAAAGUAUGUGUCUUUAGAUGGCACUCAUUAGCAGAAUCGUCUUAAGUUAGUAGUCGCUUAUGAAAACUAUGCCUUUGCCUCUGUCCUGGGGGUCACAGAUUCAUACAGAGACAAUAGGACAGGCAUUUGCCGAGGGUCAGAACCAAGUGAUGAUACCAUCAAUGGCAUCAAACUUUAGAAGACUUCAGGGGUGUGAUGUGAGUUUAAUAAAUUAAAAUAUUUCAAAUGGUGAGAUGUCAUUGUAACACAUAAAGAAAAAAAAAAAGCGCUGCACUUUUGUAGGGCAGCAUAAAUAGAGAACAUAAGAGUGUGACCAAAUAACAUUUAGAAAAGACAAGGGAAAAGAAUGCUGGAGAGGAUUGGAGAUUAUGACAGAGGAAACAUAAGCAGGCAGAGCUGUGCAGAGCUUACACAAAUUUUUCUAAUGACCUCCUGCUUUAAAAAUGAGCUCCUGCUUCUUCAUUGCUUUAAAAAUCUUAGUAUAAUUGUCUUAUUCUUUACCCCACGUUUGUCUCAUUCCAGAUGUUUAUAAUUUUAAUUUUAUUCUUAUUAAUAAAAAACAAUUGCUCUUAGCUACCUCCCUCUGUUAUUACUGGUACCUUAUUAUAUAUGAAUAUUUUUGUAUUUAUUUGAAGACAGUUACUAUGUCUUUGCUCCAGUCUGGACAUGCUAAGUUCUCUAAGCCCUGCAUCAGAACUUUUUCCCCCAACCCUAAUGUAAUUUUAAUAUAUUAUUUUUAUUAUGAAUUCUUAACAAUGUACUUACAUAUUUUUAUGCGUACUCAAGGUACAUAGUAGGAGAUUUUGUUUAUCUGCUACCAACCCACUGUUAAGGGUAGUGAGAUGAAUUUCUAAUGGAAUGGUAGGACGCACUGUUUAUUAUUGCCUGAGCUGGAUGCAGCACCACUCCUUGAGAGCCUCACCUACUGGGAAAUGUUAAACACAGUCAGCACUAUAGGUUCAUGGUGAUCUUAUGGUUAUUGUGGAUACUUGAUCAGACUCCUUGGGAAAAGGUUCUGGAAAAGGAAGAGUGAGGAUCACUUGAGUUCUGUAGGGCAAGGAAUCAAUUCCUUUUUCAUUCUUAGCACAUGUGAGAUAGCACAUUUUUAUGAUUAACAAUUUGUACUACUAACUAAGCAAAAAUGUUUGUGGUGAAGGAAUAAACAGAAGUCCAUAACUAAUUGGAAACAGUGAGGUUGUGUAAUUUUUCCAUUGCCUACUUUGGAGAAUUAAAAGUUCAGCAUAUUAACUAUGAUGCUUCAAAUCUCCCACAUUCUAUGGUUCUAUGGGGCUUUAAAGGAAAUAACAGACAUAAGAGAUAAUAGAGUCACAU